AGGAUAAACGCUGGCGGCGUGCAUGAGACAUGCAAGUCGAACGGACGAUCAGGGCUUGCUCUGAUCGUUAGUGGCGGACGGCUGAGUAACGCGUAGGUGACCUGCCCCGAAGUGGGGAAUAACUGCCCGAAAGGGUGGCUAAUACCGCAUGUGGUGGUGUGUUCAUUCACACCAGUAAAGCCGCAAGGCGCUUCGGGAGGGGCCUGCGUCCGAUUAGCUCGUUGGUGGGGUAACGGCUCACCAAGGCGACGAUCGGUAGGUGGUCUGAGAGGACGAUCACCCAGACUGGGGACUGAGACACGGCCCAGACUCCUACGGGAGGCAGCAGUCGGGAAUUUUUGCGCAAUGGACGAAAGUCUGACGCAGCAACGCCGCGUGAGGGAUGAAGGCCUCGGGUUGUAAACCGUCUUUAUCAGGGAAGAUAAUGACGGUACCUGAUGAAUAAGUCACGGCUAACUACGUAGCCAGCAGCCGC
rnacentral:rRNA from 1 species